rnacentral:rRNA from 1 species
GACGAACGCUGGCGGCGUGCUUAACACAUGCAAGUCGAACGGAAAGGCCUCUUUCGGGGGGUACUCGAGUGGCGAACGGGUGAGUAACACGUGAGUAACCUGCCCUUGACUUUGGGAUAACUUCAGGAAACUGGGGCUAAUACCGGAUAGGAGCUCCUGCUGCAUGGUGGGGGUUGGAAAGUUUCGGCGGUUGGGGAUGGACUCGCGGCUUAUCAGCUUGUUGGUGGGGUAGUGGCUUACCAAGGCUUUGACGGGUAGCCGGCCUGAGAGGGUGACCGGCCACAUUGGGACUGAGAUACGGCCCAGACUCCUACGGGAGGCAGCAGUGGGGAAUAUUGCACUAUGGGUGGAAGCCUGAUGCAGCAACGCCGUGUGCGGGAUGACGGCCUUCGGGUUGUAAACCGCUUUCGCUCAUGACGAAGCUUUGUGUGACGGUAGUGGGUAAAGAAGCACCGGCUAACUACGUG